AGCUCCAAAGUGCGCGGUACUCCUUCCUCUUGCAG
rnacentral:ribozyme from 1 species